rnacentral:rRNA from 1 species
CAGUCGCCGCGGUAAUACGGAGGGUGCAAGCGUUAUCCGGAUUUAUUGGGUUUAAAGGGUCCGUAGGCGGAUCUGUAAGUCAGUGGUGAAAUCUCACAGCUUAACUGUGAAACUGCCAUUGAUACUGCAGGUCUUGAGUAAAUUUGAAGUGGCUGGAAUAAGUAGUGUAGCGGUGAAAUGCAUAGAUAUUACUUAGAACACCAAUUGCGAAGGCAGGUCACUAAGAUUUAACUGACGCUGAUGGACGAAAGCGUGGGGAGCGAACAGGAUUAGAUUCCCGCGUAGUCCCUGUCUCUUAUAC